rnacentral:lncRNA from 1 species
CAUUAUUCACUUCCCUUUGCUCUCUCUGUAUCAAAUUCCUCUCCUUUAUCUCUACAAUUUUUUCUUUUUCAAGAGUAUCCCAAACAAAAAAACCACCUUUGUCCGCCAUCUCCUCCAUCACAGGCCACCUUUUUCAAAUCCUCUUAGCUACUUCAUUCCUUUGCCUAAAUUAGAUUUUUGAAAAUUUUCACAAAAAACCCAAGAUCUAAGUUUUUGUUUAAAAAAUGUCGCCAUCUUUUCUUUUUAUUUUUGCUGCCAGAAAAAAUCUUAGCUUCCAGAAAAUUGCUUCCUCUCAUUCUCCUUUCCUUAAUCAACAAGUCUCAAGUCAUCGUAAAUCUCAAAGGAAAAAUCCAUAUUUCUUUUCUACCUUUUUUUGUUGUUGUUGUUAAUUGCAUAUGUUAUUGUUUAUUAUUGUGUAUAAUUGUGUUGAUUGAUAUUAUGUUCUUCCGUGUCGGGUUGUUGAUUGUUUGUUACUGUUGUUGCCAUCUACAUGAUCCAAAAAAAUCCUAAGAAAAACUAAGUUCGAAACCUUCAGAACUCUGUUUCCUCUUUUUUUUUUUUUUUUUUGUGAUUCUCUUUUCUGGAUGCUUAUGAAUUGCUUAUUCCUUUUUUUUUUUUUUCUAUUUUUUUAAUCUUAAAACCCUAGAAAGACAUCUCAAAAAUUGUCUUUUUGUCACUAUGUUUUUUCUAAAUCUGUUUUUUUUUUUUGUUAUGUUUUUACCCUUUCAAAUAUUUUUAUAUUUUUAUAUUUUAAUUGUAAAUAAUUAUAAUUUAUGUUUUUAGAUUAUUUUUAUUUAACUAAGGGACAAAAUGGUAUUUUUAAUGAUAUGUUUGUAACUUAGACAAUUUUAAAAAAACUUAACGAUAAUUUUCAUGUAUAAGUGUAUAUUAUGUAACAUAAAAUAAUAAAAACAAUUGUCUACUAAUAUGAUAUUAAAGACUAUUAGUUUUUUAAAAAAUUGCAAAUAUAAGAAAAGUUACAAUUAUAAUCAAUUGUUAUGUUUAUAAAUUAUUGAAUAAUCAAUUAAUAAAUUAAAAAAUAAUUAAACAAUCAAACCUACAAAUAAUGGGAGCUCAAUUUAAAAUUUCAAUAUUCUAGAACUUCUUUUUUACCACUAAGUUAAGGUGUCAUAUACUAAUAUUAAUAUUAGGCAUAAGUACAGAAAAAAAAAACCCAUGAAUUAAAAAUAAAUAACUAUAUAAACUUUUGUCAUUUUAUUACAUCCAAUUGAGCAUUCAAAUAUUUAUUUUUAUUAAUUAAGCCAUUAUUAAACGAAAAUUGUUUAAUUGUGGACAUUCAUUUUCAUUUAAUCGAAGGUUUAAUUAAGUAAAAAUAAAUGUUUAAAAGUUCAAUUGGGUGAAAAUAAAUAUUUAAUGAUUCAAUCGAAUGAAAAUAAAUAUUUGAUAAUUAAAUUGAUUUCAAUAAAAUGAUAAAAAUUUAAAUAAUUAUUAAAUUUUGUUUAGGAGUUUUUUAUACUUAAACAUUAAAGUUAUUUGUUUGAGACCGAGGGGGAACAAAAAUAGUUUGCGAUUUUUUUUGCAAUAUUUUAUUUUUAUUUUUUAAAAAAUAUUUUAAAUUCAUCUACUUUUAAAUCAUUGUUAAAAAUCAAAGAAAUAUGUGUUCAAAGUCACAUAGACAUCUUCAUAAAUCUCAAUCCAAAAAUCAAACGUGUAACACCUUUUUGUCACGUGAACAUCAAAGUGUUUAUUCACUAGAUUUU